GGCUGCUACACCCGGCCCUUAAGAUGAUACUCAUUAACAUACUACAAUUUACAACAUACUAAUUAUAUCACCAGUGAACCAUUUAGAACAGAUUGUAAACAGGGUGAAUGUUUUGUUCCAAAAAUAAAUUGCUUACCAUCGUUUCGACUGUCAACAGAAGGUUGACAAUGUCCUUCAAUCAAACAUAUACAGCUGUUGGUCUGAAGAGAGAUACAUUUCCUGAGGCUUUUCCCUUUGAGAAACUCAGUAAAAUAGAGAUCAAGAGGUAUAGAUAAAAAUCAUACUGGGAGACCAAAUACUGAUCUCACACAUACAAGGCUUUGGAGUAUAAUGCUGCUUUCUUACUGCUGGGGUUUAUGGAUUUGUUCCAGGAUGUUCCUAUGGAAAUGGAAAGGAGAGGAUCAUAUCUAAUACCAGAUGAUGGAUUCCCUUCAUGAAAAGAGUUAAUGAAAAAGCACCUUGUGUGCGUGCGUGCGUGCAUAUAUAAGUGUGUGUGUUGGCCAUGUUCAUUUCUUUCUUACUUCAUCAAAGGUGGACAUCAAAAACCUCAUCCUCUUUCUCCUGAGAGCCAUCCUUGAUGACUGUGGAGAAAAACAA